rnacentral:rRNA from 1 species
GACGAACGCUGGCGGCGUGCUUAACACAUGCAAGUCGAACGGAAAGGCCCUGCUUUUGUGGGGUGCUCGAGUGGCGAACGGGUGAGUAACACGUGAGUAACCUGCCCUUGACUUUGGGAUAACUUCAGGAAACUGGGGCUAAUACCGGAUAGGAGCCCCUGCUGCAUGGUGGGGGUUGGAAAGUUUCGGCGGUUGGGGAUGGACUCGCGGCUUAUCAGCUUGUUGGUGGGGUAGUGGCUUACCAAGGCUGUGACGGGUAGCCGGCCUGUGAGGGUGACCGGCCACAUUGGGACUGAGAUACGGACCAGACUCCUACGGGAGGCAGCAGUGGGAAAUAUUGCACAAUGGGCGGAAGCCUGAUGCAGCAACGCCGCGUUCGGGAUGACGGCCUUCGGGUUGUAAACCGCUUUCGCCUGUGACGAAGCGUGAGUGACGGUAAUGGGUAAAGAAGCACCGGCUAACUACGUG